rnacentral:rRNA from 1 species
AGUGAACGCUGGCGGUAGGCCUAACACAUGCAAGUCGAACGGCAGCACAGUAAGAGCUUGCUCUUACGGGUGGCGAGUGGCGGACGGGUGAGGAAUACAUCGGAAUCUACUUUUUCGUGGGGGAUAACGUAGGGAAACUUACGCUAAUACCGCAUACGACCUACGGGUGAAAGCAGGGGAUCUUCGGACCUUGCGCGAUUGAAUGAGCCGAUGUCGGAUUAGCUAGUUGGCGGGGUAAAGGCCCACCAAGGCGACGAUCUGUAGCUGGUCUGAGAGGAUGAUCAGCCACACUGGAACUGAGACACGGUCCAGACUCCUACGGGAGGCAGCAGUGGGGAAUAUUGGACAAUGGGCGCAAGCCUGAUCCAGCCAUACCGCGUGGGUGAAGAAGGCCUUCGGGUUGUAAAGCCCUUUUGUUGGGAAAGAAAAGCAGCAGGUUAAUACCCCGCUGUUCUGACGGUACCCAAAGAAUAAGCACCGGCUAACUUCG